UUUAAAUAGUUUAAGGAAAACAUUAACUUGUGGAGUUAAAAUUAUAAAGGAUUAUUUUAAAUAA
rnacentral:tRNA from 1 species